UGAUAAUGGUGAGGGCAAUUUCUGAGUAUACUCUUAAAUCUCUCCCAAGCUUGGUAGAGAUUUUCUCCUUCUUUCUGCCUGAAACUUAGAAUCUUAUUUCUCAAAUG
rfam:Capsicum annuum cultivar Zunla-1 chromosome 4, whole genome shotgun sequence